GCAAGUCGAACGCGAAAGCCACUUCGGUGGUGAGUAGAGUGGCGCACGGGUGAGUAACACGUGGGUAUCGUACCCUUAGGCCUGGGAUAACUCGAGGAAACUCGAGCUAAUACCGGAUGAUACCUCUUUUCGAGAGUUGAGAGGCCAAAGCGGGGGCGAUCUUCGGAUCCCUCGCACCAAAGGAUCGGCCCGCGGCCCAUCAGCUAGUUGGUAAGGUAAUGGCUUACCAAGGCGGAGACGGGUAGCUGGUUUGAGAGAAUGAUC
rnacentral:rRNA from 1 species